GAUGAACGCUGGCGGCGUGCCUAAUACAUGCAGGUCGAGCGAACGGACGAGAAGCUUGCUUCUCUGAUGUUAGCGGCGGACGGGUGAGUAACACGUGGAUAACCUACCUAUAAGACUGGGAUAACUUCGGGAAACCGGAGCUAAUACCGGAUAAUAUUUUGAACCGCAUGGUUCAAAAGGGAAAGACGGUCUUGCUGUCACUUAUAGAUGGAUCCGCGCUGCAUUAGCUAGUUGGUAAGGUAACGGCUUACCAAGGCAACGAUGCAUAGCCGACCUGAGAGGGUGAGCGGCCACACUGGAACUGAGACACGGUCCCGAGUCCUACGGGAGGCAGCAGUAGGGAAUCUUCCGCAAUGGGCGAAAGACUGACGGAGCAACGCCGCGUGAGUGAUGAAGGUCUUCGGAUCGUAAAACUCUGUUAUUAGGGAAGAACAUAUGUGUAAGUAACUGUGCACAUCUUGACGGUACCUAAUCAGAAAGCCACGGCUAACUACGUG
rnacentral:rRNA from 1 species